rnacentral:lncRNA from 1 species
GACUCAGGAUGGGAAACAACGGCAAGCAUUUGGAAUUCCCAAGCCCCUAUUACCAUAACACAUCCUAGUACAGAGAUAUUUUUAGAUAUUAGAAAUCCAAAUCUCCAAACCAUUUAUGUGAGUACACUACACAAACACCAACCAUUUAUGUCAUCCCUCGCGUAACCCAUCCAUAUUCCUGCAAAAAAAUAUGCCAAUGUGAACUAGGAGCAUUUUACAACACCUCUAAGCACCAACAAUAUAGUACUUGACAACAUGAGUUCCAGAAACAUUUUGUAUGGAUUGAUUUCUAGGAUAAAAAACAAGUAUACGGGUCAGCUACUCAGCUAUCACCUCAUCAAGCAAAAAUAAAAAAACUCUGCGGCAGAUACAUAGCAAAAUUAACCCAUAAUUUCACAAUGCUACAGCCGAGCUAAUUGAAUUUCUUUGGCACAAAACAGCUCAUCAGCCAUGCAGUCCACACAGGAAAAACACGAAGCGGAGAUCAUCUCUUGUGAUGAAAAUGAGCGAUUCGACGAUGAUAGCUUCGGGCACAUCGUUAGUGAUGG